rnacentral:lncRNA from 1 species
GAUGAGCUGUUUUACCGUUCUGAGGUCUGUGUUCUCUACUUCCUUUUGAUUAUGGUUUUCAAAACUGUCAACCGGGGGUGUGUGUGUGUGUGUGUGUGUGUGUUAUCGUGAGGACAGGUAGUGACAGCGUGUACAAGUGUCCUCCUUUUUGUUCCCUAAACUUUAGGUCUGUUGGACCAAACUGUCAGGUCAGUGAUGAUUUUGACACCAUGGCGUCAUGCUCAACAUUGCGAAACACUUUGGCCUUUCUAGUCUCGCGUAAUUUCCAGAGAACAAGAACGAAGAUGAAAUGCCGGAUGGUGAAUGGUAGCCCUAGGAGAAUCGGUGAGGACCAGAUGUUGCUGAAUUAUCUGGUGCUUGGAAGAACGCUAAUCAUACACUACAUUCUACGAGAAACACGGCAUGUGAAGAGAUGGUGUUGAUCUUCAGUACCAUUAGGGCACCGAGAACGUGCAGCAUUGGUCCACAGGUUUUUCUGAAGGAGGUUUUGCUUGGUGUUCAGCCUGUCAAGGUGGAGCAGCCAGCCAAAUAUGUUGACUUAGCUUGGCAUUUGCGAUUCCUAGAUAAUGUCCAGCUUUGGGUCGCCCAUUUGGGAAGAGAGGUCCACAUAUAUGCUCCCUAGUGGUGAAGCUUGCUCCAUGGAGGGUCCUGGUAUCCGGCUGUGCAGAAACGGUGACACCCUGCGACUUGGAUCGGGGAAACAAGUUCCUAGGCAGCAGCUCGUGUGAGUGGCUGUGGUGUGGCAGCGAAGGGUACUUUUGUCGUGCGAGGGGGAUGGGUCAUGGUUGUGUGGGUGGGAGUCUAGAACCAUCCUCCUACACACACAUACACACACAUACUAAAGGACAGACCCCAGAGAAGCUCCCACACAAGGUGGGGUUUGGGGAGGGAUUAUAGGAACCUAGUCUUACCCCCCUGCAAAGUGCAAUGCAGAGAGGCUGGAAUGUAUGUGAACUACUUGUGAUGAUGUAUAUAUAUAUAUAUCUAACGUCAAGUAUGGCUUGUCUGCAGGAAUAAGUGAAGCUUAGAUGAUGAAUCUCAAGUACAAGAGCAGGAGUUUGUUUUUAGAGAGGAUAAGAUCAGUUCGAGGCCAGCUUACCUCGAGAGAAGAGACGCCAUGCCCAUCAUCAGCCUGUGUGCGCCGCUUCAGUAAAAUGAAAGAAAGGCAUUGUAAAUUGGACAAUUACUAAAUUGAACUGACACAAGCGCUAGCUUCCACCUUGUAAUAUAGUACAUGUAGUAGUAGUACUGAAGCACAACUAACUAUAGGAAGUAGGAGGUGCAUGGAGCUCCAAAGGAAAGGAUGUUUCAUCAGACAAAUCUGCUGUCAUAUUAAUGGAGUGGAGUACCAUCAUUGGUACAGUAGUAAUCAUCAUAGCUAUGAUAACUAAGUGCACUCUUAUGUCUAUGCUAAUGAGUGGCAAUUUUG